ACUAGCAUCCAUGAGGAUGCAUGUUUGAUCCCUGCACUUGUUCAGCUGGUUAAGGAUCCCAAGUUGCUGCACCAAGCAGCACAGGGUGUUGCUGUGCCAAAGGCCAGCAGCUAAAGCUCUGACUCAAUCCCUAGCCUGGGAACUUCCAUGUGAUGAAGGUGUGGCCCUAAAAAUGAAAAAAAAAAAAGUGUCCAUUGGCUAUGAAGUUCACUCAUGAGAGCAAUUUCCAUGGAGUGAUUGUAGCUGGGUUGAAGUGAGCUGAAUUGUGAAUAGGUGAUGAGGAAAUGGGGGGAAAACUGUGUAGAGAACCCCAAGAAAUUUGUUCAUGAAGAACAAAAAAAUUAGUGUGUAUCUUGAUGGGGAUGUAUGUGCUGCAAAAUGGAGCAGUGGAGGGGGAGAGACUACUCCAAGGCUGCAGUGAGGAUGAACUAGCUGAAAAUGUGAUCUUCCUUGCAUGUUAGGACAAUUAACCCUUUUUCUACAUGUUGUAAAAUCUCCUAUGGUUUUUCUUUUUUCGGGCCACACCUGUGGCAUAUGGAAGUUCCCAGGCUAGAGGUCAAAUCAGAGCUGCAACUGCUGGCCUAGGCCACAGUCACGGCCAUGCCAGAUCCAAGCCAAGGUCUGUGACCUAGGCCACAGCUCGAGGCAAUGCCGGAUCUUUAACCUACUGGGGGAGGCCCGAGAGCAAACCCACAUCCUCAUGGCUACUAGUUGGGUUCUUAAACCACUAAGCCACGACGAGAACUCCUGAUCUCCUGUUUUUAACUUUUUUUUUUUUUUUUUAUGGUUACCUUUACUUAAAUUUAAAACAUUUAUAUGACCAAAUUUUUUGCUUUCUUACCUUUAUAAUUUCCAGGUUUUCUGUUACAUUUAGUACAUUUAGUGAGGUUUCCAAAAAAGGAUUUGGAUAUUUCCAAAUAUAAACCCAUCUAAAAAAAUUUCUCUAUGUGGAAUAAGGUAGAGAUGUAAUGUUAUUGACUAGCCUACUCAUUCCCCACUAGUGUGAGCUUUAUUAUCUAUUAUAUGCUCACACACAUGCUUUCUUUCUCUCUGAUAUGUUUCUGGACUCACUGUAUCCCAAUGACUUAUUUUUCCAUUCCUAUGCCCAAAUAUUUAAAAACACAUAUCUUGUAGAUUUAUGUCUUUAUAGAUAGUCAAGCAAGUCUCCUAGUGUUAUUCUCUUUUGUUAUUUUAACUUAAAAACUAACUUAGGGAGAACUGACAUUUUACCAAGCCCUCCCAUUCAGAAAUAUUAUUUGUCUUUCCAGUUACCCUAAUUUUCUUUUACUCCCUCCAUAAAGCUUUUAGUUUUUUUUUAUACAGUUCUUGCACAUUUACUGAUACAUUUAAUAAGUAAACUUGCCUCUGGUAGCCUUCUGGUAUCUAGUUGGAUUUGGGGAUAGAACUUCAAAUAGCCAGAAUAAUGGAUAGCAUGUCCAUCAGCUCUCUUCCUUAAAUAUGAUUAUUUCUUAGGACUUUUUUUUUUUGUUUGUUUUCCUUUUUUGUCUUUUUAGGGCCUCACCUGCGGCAUAUGCAAGUUUCCAGGCUAGGGGUUGAACCACUGGGCUACACCACAGCCACAGCAAUGCCAGAUCUGCACUGUGUCUGCGACCUACACCACAGCUCAUGGCAUUGCCAGAUCCUUAACCCACUGAGCAAGGCAGGGAUCAAACUCGAGUCCUCAUGGAUAGUAGUCAGAUUCAUCACUGCUGAGCCAUGAUGGGAACUCCAACUUAGGAUCUCUAUGAGAGCUGGAUAAAAGUCAAUUUCACAAGGCUGUGGACUGCUGAUUCUCUAUAGUGACAGGUACAUAUGUUCUAGAAAUAAGGGUUAUUUUAACAUGAAAGUAAGGAGGUCUAAUAUGUGUUCUCACCUGACUGAAAAGUCACUCUACUUCCACAUGAUGAAUAUCUGGCAAAAGAAGCCAGGAUAUUUUGCAGAAAGUAACUUGCAAUCAAGUCCAGCAUUUGCCCAAGUGUUCUCCAGAGACCCUAAGAAUAUGGAAUUACUAUUCCAUAUAAUGAAGGUGGCAAAACUGGUUUGAGUAUUUUAAGGUUCAACAUUAUCAGCACCUAAACCUGAAAACAUCAAAGAAAUACAUCAGAGGAGUUCCCAUCAUGGCUCAGUAGUUAAUGUCCAAGAGGACAUGGAUUUGAUCCCUGGCCCUGCUCAGUGAGUUGAAGAUCCUGUGUUGCUGUGGUUGUGGUGUAGGUUGCAGACAGCCAAGAUCCUGCAUUGCUAUGGCUAUAGUGUAGGCUGGCAGCUACAGCUCAGAUUUGACCCCUAGCCUGGGAAAAUCCAUAUGCUGCGAGUGCAGCCCUAAAAAAACAAAAGAC
ensembl:lncRNA